UAGAAAUGUAAAAGUUAAAACGUUCCCACGACUCGUUCGACACGGGAGGAUAACCCUAAUAAAACGGCGUCAUCGUUUCCCUGGCAACGGGCCUUCCAUUUGAUCUGUCUUUUAGCACAUUCAAAUUUCCGCGGUCGAUACAACAGCGCCACUAGCGGAGAAAUCUCACAUUAAUUUCGUCACUGCUUGAAGCUUUGACUGCAUACAGAGUAAGUUGGGAGAUUGCUCAUGGACAGGAUCCACUUUUUUAUUUUUCAAGUCAUCACAGAGAUGCGUUGGGAGCAUAGAUGAGGAUUAUAAACGCGAUCGCGCAACGCCGCUCGUGAGCAAUCUCUUAACUCAUCUCUGAUCGGAAUGCUCUUGCGCGGUAGAUAAAACAAUCUUUAAAAAUGGACGGACGAAUCCUGUGGAGAUUUACGAGAGUUGCAAUGCGCAACGACAAACAAACGAAAAUUAAUUCCAGCUAUUCCAGAAUACAGGAGCUGGGUGAUCUCUUUGACAACAUGACAUUACUCAGAUGACUUGGCCGACAAUUACAAGGACCUGGUUCUAUUUGUUGGUUACUUUAGCACUCUUUGGUUAUGUGAUGCCAAUAAGCAAUAAUAACAGUGGAAGUGCUAAGAAGUUGAAUUUUAAUAUCAGGGGUAAAUCAGCAACUGCUCAUGAAGAAAUAAAUGAAAGGGAUAAUCAGUUUUUAACAAUCGCACCCGCAUUACCAAUAUUGCCCGGUGCUCCGAUCCCUCAGAAAUUAGCAAAACGGUCUUAUAGCUCUCUUAGUUGUACAUCCAAUUUCAACGUCGAGGAUGCCGAAGUUGGGGGCUGUGACGUCGUCACACUGCAACAUGCGGGAGAAAGUAGAACAGUGGUGGCCACGCGUUCUCCAGAAGAGCGGGAAAAGAAUCCUGACAGAAUAUGUCUUGACAGACGAGGGCUCACAACUUUUCCCAGUAUAGUAGGGGAGACUAAAUUAAGAUUAAUGUCUCUCCAGCACAACCUGCUAACUAAAAUCGAUGGAAAGCAUUUUUCUCAACUGAAGAAACUUGUCUUUCUUGAUCUGUACGAUAAUCAAAUAGAGAAAGUGUGCAAUAUUGACCCGCUAGAAAAUUUAAGGGUACUUCUGAUAGGAAAGAAUAGAAUUAAGAAAAUAGAGGGCCUACAAAAGUUAUGCAAGUUAGAAGUUUUAGAUUUACACGGAAAUCAGAUUGGGCAAAUAACAGGUUUGGAAAAUCUGGCUUCGUUAAAGGUGUUGAAUCUGGCUGGGAAUAACAUUAAAAUCAUUGGACAGAAUGACUUUCAAGGCUUGACAUCACUGAAGGAAUUAAAUGUCAGGCGUAACAAAAUUAAGAAAUUACUUGGCUUCGGAGAGACACCGCAAUUGCAAAAACUGUAUCUUAGUAACAAUGACGUCCAGAAAAUCGAGGACAUGAAUAGUUUAGCAAAAGCCUUGCAAAUUAGAGAAGUAUCCAUCGAUGGCAAUCCUGUCACUCUGAGUCCGAAUUGUGUAUCUUUCUUGGUGGCUUAUUUGCCAAAUCUGCAAGUUCUGUCAACUAUGCAGGUAAGCGAACAGCUACGCAGAGCUGCUGCAGCCUGGAGGACGACGAAGGAACAGUCGAGCUCUGCCUUUUUGGAUCUGAGUACACAAGUUAGUGUAAAUGUCUUACGCGAAGAAGUGAUAUCAAAUGCAAAGACAAACUGGGAACUACUGAGAUCGCAAACCAAAUGUUUAGUUGGCGGCACAGGCAAGGCUAGUAACAUUAAAAGUGAUCGCAUCAGAGGUCUUAACCUGCAAAACUCGAACAAACUUGACACCGUUAAGCUAAAGAGCUUGGACAAAGCAAUGUGUAAAGGUUUUGGAAGCUUGACUUCCAUAAAUGAGAAUGCAGAAAUGAAAAAGAUUUUAUUUAAAAAGAGAAGCAACUCCAGUGAUAACAUGUUCGCAGGCAAUGAUGUGUGUAAUGUGAAUCCUUUGGAAUUUAAACUACCGCCAAUAUUAGUUCCUAUUAUAAAUAAUUUAACUGAAAACAAAGGCAACGCUGGUAUAGGCAAUAGCAAAGACAGAUUGCUCUUCAUCGAUGGUGAAGAGAGUACAACAGACUCCGAUCUGGAGAGUUCUGAGAGUCACGAGAGUUUGAAGAGUAAUUUAAGAAACCACUUAAUCAAUUCCAAUAAUCACUUCUCAGGAGAUAAAAAUGGUUCAGUAAAGAACAAGACCUCUGAAGCCCAUCCCUCCGUCAGGAAGUUUCAAAAUGAGGGUCCAAACAUGAUGUGCUUCAACAAGAGUAGUAAAGUACCUGCCAAUAGUUCCAGCCCGAGAAGACAGCCUUUGUCUAAAAAUUUAAAGCCAUUUUACGAUUACGAAGGUCGAACUGACUGCCAAUCUAGCGCAGUUGGCAGUCUGUCAUCGUUCCACUCCUCCAGUUCGAAGACCAGCAGUGUUGACAGUUGCAAGUCGUUUCUCAGUGACUCCACUGGAUCUUUGGGACUUCAGGCUACAGAAGACACGACCCAGUUGUCUGAAAGUGAUAAAAUUAAAGAGAAGGUGCAGUUAAAAAGAGUGGUACACUAUAAGAGUAACAGAGCUGCCACUGCUCGAGCUAAACACAGAGCUGUGCCACCGCCAAGUCCUCCACCGCAGCCGCCUCCACCAAGAGAGAGAGAACAAGGUGGUGAUUAUUUAGUAGAAAUAGUUGGACGAUGUCUAAAUGUCUACGGGCAAGGAGCACUGCGAUUCAUUGACAGACCUUGGAAUACCUCAAAAGCCAAUGACGUUAACGUGGUCAAAUUUAACUAUGUGCAAUUCAAUGGUGUAGCCACCGUACUAAAUAAAUUAAAACACAGAUUCCCUAAUGCGGAACACUUCAUCUUUAAAGAGACCAACAUUAGUCAUCUGGGUCAGAUUAAUGCUCUGGCUGAGGUACAAGGUUUGUCGAGUAUUCGAAUAGAAGCGGAAGGUAAUCCAAUCAUAUCGAAGGAUUGGAAGAUGUAUGCCAUUUUUCGCCUGGCUCAUUGGGGAUUGAAGGCCAUCAAUGGGAAAGAGAUAACCGAACAAGAAAUAGAACUAGCCAACGAAGAGUACUCCGGGUUAACAGACAUCGUCAUGUGGUCACUGCCAGAAUCGCUUCUGCAACCUCUUCUUCAAAGGCUUCAUUUGGAAAAGGCUCAGAAACAGAACGGGGAACAAAUUACUGCCAAACAGUUUUUAUUUAACUGCGACCCGGCUUUGAGGAACGUCGUCGCCAAAGAAGCUCUACAAUGGCGACGAGGAAACGUCACGCAAGAGGAUCUUAUUUGGAGGCACAAAGGGAUUACUAUUAUCAACGGGCAUUUCCUGCGCAUCCGAGGCUGCUCUGAAGAAAUUGCUUACAUUCGAGUUUGAAGUUCGAUAAUCCGGAAGGCAACUGUACCAAGGAAUACCCGGAUAGGCCGGACAAAAUUGUUGGAUCCCAGUCAAAGUGUCUACACGUCGUUUCCGGUCGCACUCCACGGAUGACAAUGGUCCCAGCAAUCUACCGUCUGGUGAAAUAAAUCAGAAUAUUGUCAAAAUUCUAUUCUAAGUGUCGCGAGACUCAGCCAACGUAAAAUCUCCGCAGUUUAUUAGUAAGGGGCAAGACAUGAACGAUUGGCAAUUACAUCUCGAUCAGAACUCAUUACCGAGGCCUAAUUUAUCGUUCAAUAGGAGAAGUAUAUACGAGAAGGAAUCGGGUUUAAUCGGAAAUGGUGGUUUCGUCCAUGAUACGAUUCCUUCAAGCGAACGCUUUCCAGGUGGCUCGAGAGGAACGAAUUCGCCCCGAACAGCUGAG